rnacentral:rRNA from 1 species
AUUGAACGCUGGCGGCAUGCUUUACACAUGCAAGUCGAACGGCAGCGCGGGCUUCGGCCUGGCGGCGAGUGGCGAACGGGUGAGUAAUGCAUCGGAACGUGCCCAGUAGUGGGGGAUAGCCCGGCGAAAGCCGGAUUAAUACCGCAUCCGACCUGAGGGUGAAAGCGGGGGACCGAAAGGCCUCGCGCCAUUGGAGCGGCCGAUGUCGGAAUAGCUAGUUGGUGGGGUAAAGGCUUACCAAGGCGACGAUCCGUAGCUGGUCUGAGAGGACGACCAGCCACACUGGGACUGAGACACGGCCCAGACUCCUACGGGAGGCAGCAGUGGGGAAUUUUGGACGAUGGGGGCAACCCUGAUCCAGCCAUGCCGCGUGCGGGAAGAAGGCCUUCGGGUUGUAAACCGCUUUUGUUCGGGAAGAAAUCCUCUGGGCUAAUACCCCGGGGGGAUGACGGUACCGGAAGAAUAAGCACCGGCUAACUACGUG